rnacentral:rRNA from 1 species
AGUGAACGCUGGCGGUAGGCCUAACACAUGCGAGUCGAACGGCAGCACAGUAAGAGCUUGCUCUUACGGGUGGCGAGUGGCGGACGGGUGAGGAAUACAUCGGAAUCUACUUUUUCGUGGGGGAUAACGUAGGGAAACUUACGCUAAUACCGCAUACGACCUACGGGUGAAAGCAGGGGAUCUUCGGACCUUGCGUGAUUGAAUGAGCCGAUGUCGGAUUAGCUAGUUGGCGGGGUAAAGGCCCACCAAGGCGACGAUCCGUAGCUGGUCUGAGAGGAUGAUCAGCCACACUGGAACUGAGACACGGUCCAGACUCCUACGGGAGGCAGCAGUGGGGAAUAUUGGACAAUGGGCGCAAGCCUGAUCCAGCCAUACCGCGUGGGUGAAGAAGGCCUUCGGGUUGUAAAGCCCUUUUGUUGGGAAAGAAAGGCAGCAGGUUAAUACCCCGCUGUUCUGACGGUACCCAAAGAAUAAGCACCGGCUAACUUCGUG